rnacentral:rRNA from 1 species
UACAGAGGGUGCAAGCGUUAAUCGAAAUUACUGGGCGUAAAGCGCGCGUAGGUGGUUUGUUAAGUUGAAUGUGAAAUCCCCGGGCUCAACCUGGGAACUGCAUCCAAAACUGGCAAGCUAGAGUAGGGCAGAGGGUGGUGGAAUUUCCUGUGUAGCGGUGAAAUGCGUAGAUAUAGGAAGGAACACCAGUGGCGAAGGCGACCACCUGGGCUCAUACUGACACUGAGGUGCGAAAGCGUGGGGAGCAAACAGG